GGUUGUUAAAAGUUUCUUACGUCUUAAAAUUAAUGAAACUGUAGUUUAUCUGGAUCGUUUGUGACGUUAUUUUACGUAGUUGUGAUGACGUCAUCGCAGUGGUAUCUCUGUUUACAGAGGUGUAUGCAGACAGGUGAGCUGACUCUGCCCUUUGCUACAAACUACACCAGUGUGGUAGACGGCUGAUAAAAUGUAACGCUUCUUUGCUGCAUUACUGGUUCAGUUGUUAAAUAUGUGGGUCUUAUCAGAGUUGUUUGUCGACCAUCGGACUGUUAGCAGGCUAUCAGUUGGCGUGUUUGUUUACUUGUAGGCUAACGUGACUUAAAUAAAUGAGUGAAGCUCCCGUGUGUUUCCCUCUCCGCCUCCCACAGGAGAGUGUGUCAGAGUGUGUCCUGCCAUUCCGUGCUCAUGCAGUGUUUGUUUAUUGGUCGCAGAUUCUUUUUUAUUUGAUUCAACGUAGCAUUUGCACGGACUGAUGUUACGUUGUAAAUAGCGACCGUGUUAAUUAGUGACUUUCAGCCAAACGGAUGUUAAUAACAGAAACUUUCCCCACGAAUUCGCUCUGUUUACCCUUUCUCACCCAGUUCAUAUCAGAAGAGUGCUUUCUUGGUGUACUUUAGGCUAAAUAUACCGGUUGGGACAGAUUUAGUCGUUUACACCAGCUGAAAGUCCGUGAUGCAUUUAUGUAAAGCAAGUAAGUCACUGGUUAACACGGUCACCAGUUACACCACAACAGCAGCUACAAAUGCAAGCUGCAAUAUCCCAUAUUUUUGAUUUAUUGGCCAGAUCAACAGUCUUCCAGUCAGUAAAGUCUGUUAGGUGUUUAGUUAAGCAAGAAAAAAUAAUACUCAUACUAGUACAUGGCAAUUUAACCCUACAUUUACGAAAGAAGUGAUAAAUUAACCUUUAAUGUGUGUUGUAAAAAUGACAGUUCUCUCUCCCUUUCUGUGUGAUCAUUCUUGUAGGUCAUGGAGUAGAUGGCAAACAACAGUCUGGCAUCACAGAACACUUGGUGUCACAACUCUUUUACUGGUUCAUUCAAGAAGCAAGCCAAGUUCAGGCCAACUGUAUUUGUAGGACAGUAUGACCAGAUCCUGGGGAAUUCUUCAAGAAGCGUUUGGCUUGAGAAGGAUACCUUGAACUCUUGACAAAGUGGAAGGAAGUGAAAAGAAAUUUGGGUACCAAACACCAAGAGUUUCCUAGUGCUGCAAGAACUUGUUGCAGAUAUGUGCCAGGGCAGGUGCUGCAUCCUCUAUCGAGAAGCAUUUGUAUGAUCUACAUAUGGGAUACCAGAAGAUGAAACCAGUCCUCUCCAUGGUCAAAGGCUAGAUGCAUAGAUGGCUAUAUGCUAGAUGGUCCCCAUAAGGUACAAAAUCUAAGGGUAUGGGUACAGUAUAUGUACCUUUGGGUACAUAAUGUAAAGGUACAAAAUUGUACUCCCUAAAAUUGUACCCUAUACUUGUAUCUUUAGGGUGCUGCCACAGUGACAAGCUUUUGUACCUUUAGAGGUUAUAACUGAGCACCAUUUUUCUGAGAGUAAAGUGAGGUGAAGAGGAAGCUGUUGCACCAACUUCAUCAGCUAUGAUGCAGAACAUGCUGUGAUUUUGGAGGAGGCUGUUGUCCUGGACGAUGUGCCAGAUUUUUAAGUGUUCCUUUUUUUAUACAAUGAAUGCCUUCAUACCUGUUGUGGUAUUCCUCUGGGUAGGCGUGUCAUUCUUGACAGUGUUAUCACCAAAGUGUUACAGUGUUGCACAGUUAAGUAAAAUAAAAGUAUGGAAACACCAUUUAGGAUUGUGUAUUUAUUGAAAUGCAGGUAAAUAAAUAAUGAUCGUGCAGUUAAUUAGCUUUUGCUAGUUAUAUGAAUGACGCUAUUGAGCAAAUAAACAUGUUUAUAUUGGCAAAAUGAAGAAUUAAUAAUAGUGACCAAUCACAGAACAACGUAAAUGUAAUUGGUACAACGAUGAAAUGUCACUUAGGACAAUGACAUAGCAAAUCGUUGACACAACUCAAAAAUCUUACUGCAAAAGGUUGCCUUAAAAUUUUGAGUUUUCUCAAUUAUUCUUUUUUAAAAGUGCACUGACACACACACAGGCUGGUGUUACAGCAGUAGACAGAUAUUGUGCUCUGAGUUCUCACAGCCUGUGAGUGACAGGAAACCACAAACCCUAACACUACAGGAUGUAUGAGUGAGUACGAUGCUGCAGA